AAGCCUGGCUCAGGGCAGAGAAAAUAAAUAUCAAUAUAAGUGUCCACACUGGGCGCUGGGGAGAGGAGAGAGGCCGGGGACUUGGGGAGGGGCCCUUGGAGAGCUGCUUGAGGCCUGGGAGAGAGGAAGUGGGCUAAGUUGGAAUGCUGGGGUAGAGAGCACCCCCACCUCAAUAGAAAAGGUCACAAAACUACUCACCUUCAGCGAGCCACGUCUCCUGGAAGUGACUUAGAUCCUGGAAGAGAUCUGAGGGGUGAAUAAUGGAAUUGGAGAAGGGACCCUCUCCUCUGUUUCCUGUUCAGCAUGCAGGCUGAGUGAGAGAAGGCACCCGUGCUGCCACCACUGCUGUUACCUGGCCUCCUGUUCAAUAACACCCAGGCUCCGAGUAGUAAGAUCUCCAGAGAGAGCAUCUGAGCUUCUUCCAGGGCUUGAGAUAGUUGGUGGAGAAGAAGGAAUAAAGCGGCUGGAGAUUUCCACAGUAACCAACAUUUACUUGCUAUCGCUGCUGCAAGGACUGGACCUGUGUUAACUCAUGCAGCCUUCACAGCAGUCCUGUAAGGUGUCCCCAUUUUACAAAUGAGGAAACUGAGGCCUCAAAAACACACAUCUACUCCAAGAGUUCACUCAACAGACUGAGUAUACCCCAAACGAACGAGGCACAAAGACUACACUUUGAGGGAACACAUAACGAGCUGGGUGGAGGACAAACCUGAGCCAGAGAGUACACAUGGACACCCCCAGAUUAAGGAUGCUUCUGGACGCACAGCUUCAGGGAGGACGCGCACACAACUCCCUGACAUCCCCCAACACACUUUUGGUGGGGGUUGCAAUAGGUAAAUGCUUCCUCCCCUCUAGCAUAUUGGAGCUGGACUCUGAACAGUUUUCCAGGAGUCUAAGUUAUAAAAUGUAAAUGUAUGUUUUAAAUAUGCAGAUGCUUGUACCAAGGCACCCCAAAGCUGGAAGGUUGGAUUUCUGGGGUAAGAAGGGAGAGGAAGCCAUUGAGACACUUGGAUCAGACUAAGAGGCUCAGCAGCCAGCAGCGAAGCAGGCUCACCUCGGGCCUCCAGAUAGGCCUUCCGAUAUAGUGGCAGGGGGCUCGGUGAUCUGUAAACCUGACUACGAAGGGAGAACAGAAAUGUCUUCAAAGGCCUGGCUUGCUUGAUGUCUGGAAGAACUGAGAGUCCUAGAGACUUAAAGGAUGGAACUUAGAGGGUAACCCAGGGAGACAGCUUGGUAAGGCCAGAUAGAUAAGAUAAAUGGGGUUAAGUGAUGUCCUAUGUCCCUUUAGUGUCUCCCAGACUGGAAUGGUUACCUGCGGGAAUGAACCAGAAAGCAAAGUCAGGCGGUAGGGGUGGAGGACAUGGGGUCUUCCCAGGGGCUGGUGAGUCAGGACCAUCAGGGAAAAAAAAGUCCCACUCUUGGAUUUCCUUUUGUCCUUGUCUCACAGCCCCACUUUCACAUUACUUCCUGUAAACUGUCGGGGUCCUGAACCCAGGGACAAUGGAUGUGCAAUCCCCUGAAACUAACAGCCUACAUCGGUCUGUGCGUCCAUGUGUGUAUUUGCUGAGAAGAGUGUCUAUUGGGUCAUCACAGAGCAGGUCUAUGAAGCUCCCCUCCCCAGGUUAAGUACCACUCUCCUAUGACUUUUAUCACAGAUGGCUUUACAAGAUUAUAGGUCUUGUCAAUAUAUAUUACCUUAAAAAUGGUUGGAAAGGCACCACUUUUGGAGAAUGUGCUUGGGAGGUGGUAGAACGACUUCCCUUGUUCUUCUUUACUUUCCACUUAGCCUGAGACCUCUCAUGCGACCCACAGAACAGGUGACCCUCCCUUCAGGUAGCUGGCUGGGAGCAUGUUGGGUUAAACAAAGAAAGGUACACAGAAAGCUGGUGACUUGCUCAACUCCCGAGGGUACCCUCGUGGAGGAGAACUGUCUCAGGAGAAAAGACAGAAAGAUGAGGCCUUGGGUGGAGACCGGGCCUCUUUCCCUUAUGUUGUAGGGGUGGGAUGUCCUUGGCAGAAUCAGGAGGAGACAAUAACCUCAGCCUGACUCCCGUGGGAUCUCCUACUGCAGACGGAGCCACUGCAUUUAGGAAUCCGAGGUGGCAGGUUCUGGUUCUGGGAGAGACUCUCCUCUGGGGUGACAGCUGUGAUAUUCUCAGCAGUCAGCAGUAAAGCAA